rnacentral:lncRNA from 1 species
UAGAACCUGCCUUUUAGAAUGCCUGGACUCCACUUCCACUUUCUAACACCCCAUGGACAGAGGAAUGGACAAAAUAAGAGCAACAAAAAUGUGUUCAUCAACAUUGAUUUUACACACCACCAUCUAAAGGAUGUGAUAAGUUGGUGUUUAUACCUGUCAAGGGACCAAGGAGAUAAAAACUAGGCAUCACCAAAAGGUGUAAUUUUAG